rnacentral:rRNA from 2 species
AAGUUGCUUCACCAAAUGUUAAAGUAUACCUCAAGCACACUUUCAGUUAUAAGAAAAAGAGCAAGAGGGAGAGAAAGGUGAAAGCAAGAGAAAGCAGAAGCAAGAAACAAAUGUGCUUCACGCUCAUAUAGCUUGCCAACACACUUAUAGAAAAUAAGAAAUUUUAGUGUUUGGUGAAGUAACUUACUUAGUGGCGGACGGGUGAGUAACGCGUGAACAAUCUGCCCUAUACAGAGGAAUAGCCUCGGGAAACCGGGAUUAAAACCGCAUAAAACUAUAGUAUCGCAUGAUACAUUAGUCAAAUUGAUUAAGAGGUAUAGGAUGAGUUCGCGUCUGAUUAGCUAGUUGGUGGGGUAAAGGCCUACCAAGGCGACGAUCAGUAGCCGGCCUGAGAGGGUGAACGGCCACACUGGAACUGAGACACGGUCCAGACUCCUACGGGAGGCAGCAGUGGGGAAUAUUGCACAAUGGAGGAAACUCUGAUGCAGCGACGCCGCGUGAGUGAAGAAGGUCUUCGGAUCGUAAAACUCUGUCCUUGGUGAAGAUAAUGACGGUAGCCAAGGAGGAAGCCCCGGCUAACUAC